AAAACCGUAACAGCCAGAGCUAGAGACUCCGGCCUGGGGUUCUGGCUCUGUCCCGUAUCAGCUAGGAAACCCAGGGCAAGCUACUUAAACUCUCAGAGGCUCAGCUUUUUCAUGAGCAAACAGGAAAACAGGGCUAAUGAUUAGUCCUUGGCUUAAAAUACAUACCGCGUGUGAAAUUGCAGGUAUAUAAUAGAUUCACUAAAUGAGAGCACAAAUAAUGUAUGUUUUCUGAACCAUCUGAGGGCGAGUUAUCAACACUUACUCUCCAAUGCGUCAUCACCCCCAACACUCCUGUGUAUUUCCUGCAAAUAAGGAUCUUCUCCUACAUGGUCAGUCCGAACAACCUUCAGUCACAACUGAGAAGGUCACAUGGUGCAUCACUGCCGCUCAGUCUCCCCAAGCCCAGUGAUUUCUUCACAAUUAGGGAUCUGAGACCCGCAGUAUGGCAGUGACAAGAUCCAAGUCUUGGGACACCUAGCCAGGAGGGAAGAAUUUGAGGGAGAGGUGGAAAAUAUGCGAGGCUGAACUGACCUUCAAGGACAAGAAGGCUGUGUUCAGAUAGACAGAGU
rnacentral:lncRNA from 10 species